UACGGAGGGUGCAAGCGUUGUCCGGAUUUAUUGGGUUUAAAGGGUGCGUAGGCGGCCGAUUAAGUCUGGGGUGAAAGCCCGUUGCUCAACAACGGAACUGCCCUGGAAACUGGUUGGCUUGAGUACAGACGAGGUUGGCGGAAUGGAUGCUGUAGCGGUGAAAUGCAUAGAUAGCAUCCAGAACCCCGAUUGCGAAGGCAGCUGACUAGGCUGUAACUGACGCUGAGGCACGAAAGCGUGGGGAGCGAACAGG
rnacentral:rRNA from 1 species